rnacentral:rRNA from 1 species
CACGUAGGGCGCAAGCGUUGUCCGGAAUUAUUGGGCGUAAAGAGCGUGUAGGCGGCCCGGUAAGUCCGCUGUGAAAGUCCAGGGCUCAACCCUGGGAUGCCGGUGGAUACUGUCGGGCUCGAGUCCGGAAGAGGAGUGUGGAAUUCCUGGUGUAGCGGUGAAAUGCGCAGAUAUCAGGAGGAACACCAAUGGCGAAGGCAGCACUCUGGGACGUGACUGACGCUGAGACGCGAAAGCGUGGGGAGCAAACAGG